rnacentral:rRNA from 1 species
UACGGAGGGUGCAAGCGUUGUUCGGAAUCAUUGGGCGUAAAGCGCGUGUAGGCGGUCACUUAAGUCUGGUGUGAAAUCCCGGGGCUCAACCCCGGAAGUGCAUUGGAUACUGGGUGGCUAGAGGACGAGAGAGGGAAGCGGAAUUCCUGGUGUAGGGGUGAAAUCCGUAGAUAUCAGGAGGAACAUCGGUGGCGAAGGCGGCUUCCUGGCUCGUACCUGACGCUGAGACGCGAAAGCGUGGGUAGCAAAC